CGCAACUCUGUCCGAUUCAAUUCUCACUGUUUCCAUGGUGAGGAUUAUGUCCAAGUUGCCAUAGCAGGAAUCUGUGGCUCAUGGGCCUCGGAGUCCUUUAAGGGAUCCGGGGUUAGGUUUGCCACAGACAGAC